rnacentral:rRNA from 1 species
UAGGGAAUCCUCCACAAUGGACGCAAGUCUGAUGGAGCAACGCCGCGUGAGUGAAGAAGGCUUUCGGGUCGUAAAACUCUGUUAUUGAAGAAGAACGUGUGUGACAGUAACUGGUCAUGCAGUGACGGUAUUCAAUCAGAAAGUCACGGCUAACUACGUGCCAGCAGCCGCGGUAAUACGUAGGUGGCAAGCGUUGUCCGGAUUUAUUGGGCGUAAAGCGAGUGCAGGCGGUCUUUUAAGUCUGAUGUGAAAGCCUUCGGCUUAACCGAAGAAGGGCAUCGGAAACUGGGAGACUUGAGUGCAGAAGAGGAGAGUGGAACUCCAUGUGUAGCGGUGAAAUGCGUAGAUAUAUGGAAGAACACCAGUGGCGAAGGCGGCUCUCUGGUCUGUAACUGACGCUGAGGCUCGAAAGCGUGGGUAGCAAACAGGAUUAGAUACCCUGGUAGUCCACGCCGUAAAUGAUGAAUACUAAGUGUUGGAGGGUUUCCGCCCUUCAGUGCUGCAGCUAACGCAUUAAGUAUUCCGCCUGGGGAGUACGACCGCAAGGUUGAAAC